rnacentral:rRNA from 1 species
GACGAACGCUGGCGGCGUGCCUAACACAUGCAAGUCGAACGAGCCCUCCGGGACUUUUGGCGCCCGGGUGCGUAACCCGUGGGAACAUGCCCUUAGGGUCGGCAUAACUCUCCGAAAGGGAUGCUAAUACCGGAUCAUGUCUUCUGCCCGAAGAUUUAUCGCCUUGGGUUGGUCCCGCGUUGGAUUCGCUGGUUGGUAGGGUAAUGCCUACCAAGGCGACGAUCCAUAGCUGGUAUGAGAGGAUGAGCAGCCACACUGGGACUGAGACACGGCCCAGAAUCCUACGGGAGGCAGCAGUGGGGAAUAGUGGACAAUGGGGGAAGGGAUGAAGCAGCAAUGACGGGUGAGUGAUGAAGGUCGUAGGGAUGUAAAGCUUUUUUACCCGGGAUGAUAAUGACAGUACCGGGAGAAAAAGCCCCGGCUAACUCCGUG